GCCAGCUCUAUUUUGGGACCCUGUGCCUGGGAAUUUCCCUGAGCCCUGAUCAUGCGCCCUCCCUGCUGCCUGACUGGUGCUUUGUUACAGCAGGGGAGGAACGAACACACCACUCUCUCCCCAUCAGGGCCCUCAUCUGCAUUUGGAAGAUCUGGCGAGGAUGAAAUUUAUCAUGCAACCAGAAACUGGAACACAGUGUGGCAGGAAGGAUCCUAUCUUGUUUUAACCUGAAUUGACUCUCCCUUAGCUGAGAGAGCCAGAUAGACUCCAUUUGGCUCCUUCAUCUGCACAUCAAGGGCUCCUUACCCACCCUCUUCCUCAAGGACUUAAUUUGUGCAAGCUGACUCUCAGUGUAUCAGAGUGUAAUUAACUGACAAAGGUACCCUGCCAAGCUAUGUCUGAAGUUCCCAGGAAUUCACUCAGGAGAUAGUAACCUAAAGUCUCCGUGUUUGUGUCCAGUAGAUAACACCCAAAGCCCCCGCACCUAUCACCUUGUGAUGAAUUUAAAGCCCCUGCACCUGGAACUGUUUGUCUUCCUGUAACCAUUUGUCUUUUUAACUUUUUUUUUUUUUUGCCUGUUUUACUUCUGUAAGAUUGCUACAGCUAGGCUCCCCCUCCUCUCUCUAAACCAAAGUAUAAAAGAAAAUCUAGCCCCUUCUUUCAGGCUGAGAGAAUUUUGAGCGCUAGCCUUCCCUCGGUCGCCAGCUAAUAAAGGACUCCUGAAUGA